rnacentral:rRNA from 1 species
GAUGAACGCUGGCGGCGUGCCUAAUACAUGCAAGUCGAGCGAACGGACGAGGAGCUUGCUGCUCUGAUGUUAGCGGCGGAGGUGUGAGUAACACGUGGAUAACCUACCUAUAAGUCUGGGAGAACUUCGGGAAAGCGGAGCUAAUACCGGAUAAUAUUUUGACCCGCAUGGUUCAAAAGUGAAAGACGGUGUUGCUGGCAGGUAUAGAUGGAGCCGCGCUGCAUUAGGGAGUUGUGAAAGUAACGGCUUACCAAGGCGACGAUGCGUAGCCGACCGGAGAGGCGGAUAGGCGACACUGGAACUGAGCCAGCGUCCAUACUCCUACGGGAGGCAGCAGUAGGGUAUCUUCCGCAAUGGGCGAAAGCAUGACGCAGCAACGCCGCGUGAGUGAUGGAGACCUUCGGAUCGUAAAACCCUGUUACUAGGUAAGAACAUCUGUGUAAGGAACUGUGCACAUCGUGACGGUAACUAAUCAGAAAGCAACGGCUAACUACGUG